AUUGAACGCUGGCGGCAGGCCUACACCUGCAAGUCGAGCGGAUGAAGGGAGCUUGCUCCUGGAUUCAGCGGCGGACGGGUGAGUAAUGCCUAGGAAUCUGCCUGGUAGUGGGGGAUAACGUCCGGAAACGGGCGCUAAUACCGCAUACGUCCUGAGGGAGAAAGUGGGGGAUCUUCGGACCUCACGCUAUCAGAUGAGCCUAGGUCGGAUUAGCUAGUUGGUGGGGUAAAGGCCUACCAAGGCGACGAUCCGUAACUGGUCUGAGAGGAUGAUCAGUCACACGGGAACUGAGAACCGGUCCAGACCCCUACGGGAGGCAGCAGGGGGGAAUAUUGGAAAAUGGGCGAAAGCCUGAUCCAGCCAUGCCGGGUGGGUGAAGAAGGUUUUCGGAUUUUAAAGCCCUUUAAGUUGGGAGGAAGGGAAGUAAGUUAAUACCUUGCUGUUUUGACGUUCCCAAAAGAAUAAGCACCGGCUAACUUCGU
rnacentral:rRNA from 1 species